GUCACUUCCCAGCCUUUCGGCUAAGAUCAAGUGUAGUAUCUGUUCUUAACGGUUUAAGAGCUGAUACGUCCUCUCUCUGAAGACAAUGUAUCACAUGGGUUUUUGGAAUUAGGAGAAAGAAUAGGAGCUCACUCCGCCCACUCCACACAUCAGCCUGGUGUUGCAGGACCAUUACUUCAGUGUAGAGAAA
ensembl:snRNA U2 U2 spliceosomal RNA